CACGUAGGGUGCGAGCGUUGUCCGGAAUCACUGGGCGUAAAGGGCUCGUAGGCGGUUUGUCGCGUCGGGAGUGAAAUCCACUGGCUUAACUGGUGGCUUGCUUUCGAUACGGGCAGACUGGAGGUAUGCAGGGGAGAACGGAAUUCCUGGUGUAGCGGUGAAAUGCGCAGAUAUCAGGAGGAACACCGGUGGCGAAGGCGGUUCUCUGGGCAUGUCCUGACGCUGAGGAGCGAAAGUGUGGGGAGCGAACAGG
rnacentral:rRNA from 1 species